rnacentral:rRNA from 1 species
UACUCCUACGGGAGGCAGCAGUGGGGAAUUUUGGACAAUGGGCGCAAGCCUGAUCCAGCCAUGCCGCGUGUCUGAAGAAGGCCUUCGGGUUGUAAAGGACUUUUGUCAGGGAAGAAAAGGACAGGGUUAAUACCCCUGUUUGAUGACGGUACCUGAAGAAUAAGCACCGGCUAACUACGUGCCAGCAGCCGCGGUAAUACGUAGGGUGCGAGCGUUAAUCGGAAUUACUGGGCGUAAAGCGAGCGCAGACGGUUACUUAAGCAGGAUGUGAAAUCCCCGGGCUCAACCUGGGAACUGCGUUCUGAACUGGGUGACUAGAGUGUGUCAGAGGGAGGUAGAAUUCCACGUGUAGCAGUGAAAUGCGUAGAGAUGUGGAGGAAUACCGAUGGCGAAGGCAGCCUCCUGGGAUAACACUGACGUUCAUGCUCGAAAGCGUGGGUAGCAAACAGGAUUAGAUACCCUGGUAGUCCACGCCCUAAACGAUGUCAAUUAGCUGUUGGGCAACUUGAUUGCUUAGUAGCGUAGCUAACGCGUGAAAUUGACCGCCUGGGGAGUACGGUCGCAAGAUUAAAACUCAAAGGAAUUGACGGA